UUAGGUUUGGUUACUUGCAAGCCAAAACUGUACGGACAGAUUCAAAUCUGCUUGUUCCGGAUUUGCUUGCUCUUGAUGCUUGGUCUCUUCAUCAACUCCAGCUUCUUACUUCUUCAUUCCAACACUCCCCCUCAAGCUUGACCAUAGGAGAUCCUUGGACAAGCUUGGAACCUUGAAGAAGCUCCCUCAUUAAAAAAACCUUAGCAAGAAAACCCAUUGGGACAAAACUUGCUAAGGGAAAAAGAGUGGAGUUUCCACAAAGCUUAGGGAUUGGCCAGUGAGCCUAAAGGAACUUCAGAUUCAUCAUGGUGGAGUCCUUAGGCUCUGGAUCGUGGCCUAAUAGGUAUAGCAAGUAUGAAUCACCAUAACUUGCUAUCCUUGAGCACAAGUAGCCGGCUGGAUCAUUUUGUGGCCGGUUUAGGGUCUCCCCCUCUCAACUGGCUUCAAGCCACCUUAGGAAGGCAAGGAAACGACCAGACCAUCUUCUCUGAACCCCCAGCAAAGUUACUUGUUCUUUAGAACUUGGCUUGACCUCUUCAUGGAACCAUAGACUCGGUUAGGGUCUCCCCCUCUCAACUGACUUCUUUGGCCAUCUUAGAAAGGCUAGGACAUGACCGGAUCAUCAUCACCAUCUUCAGUGAGGCUCAAGCUUAUUUUGGUACCUGAUACAUCAUUUCAAAAGUGCAUCAGUUCUUAAGGAAAUGCACUCAUCACAUCAAACUCAAUAAUAGUUUAAGUAUAAGGACAAUCAUGAAUGUAUUGAGAUGAGUUUAAGGUGCUUCCCUUUUAUAAGAAUGGUCAGGAGUGGACUCCAAUUGAAUCCCCACUUGGUAAGACACAGUCCGGAUUAUGGAAGCUCAAUCACACACUUGGAACUGAGCUUCUUUGAUCCGGUUGGUACUGAGUAAUGCACGAGUGAAUCCACCACUUGCAAACUCCACUUUUGAUCAGAGGUGAGGCAAUGAACGACUUGGAUUGGCGCCAGUUGCUUCACCGUCAAAUCACCUUUGAGCUUCUUCUUAUGACCUGAGCUUGUCUCCCCCUUUCUUCUGGCUUCUUGCCUCCAUUUAGGAGUUGAGACAAAGCUUUUCUUUGUUCAUGAGCUCAAUAGGUACCUGAUUCAAUCAUCCAAAAAAUGCAUGUAUCAAUUCUCAAGGGGCAAACCUAUUCACACAUAAGAAUAAUAAUGGUUUUAGGUACUUCCCUUGCAUCAGUUUGUUGAAUGUUGGUGAGGAUUACUAAGCACUUGAAUCCUCCACGCCAUUCCUUCUCUCAACCAGCCUUUGCAUUGUUCUCUUGAAGUUUCAACAUGUAGGGGGACUUUGCAACUCCAUAAUUUGCCACCAUCAUGUGAUUGCUUAGCCAAGAAUGUCCCUGAUUGAAUAAUCCUUGCAUCUGGCUGGUAAGAACAGUGAGGAGUGACAGCUUCUUCAGUUUGAUCACUUAAGUCCUCUUUUAAUUCGCCAACCUCUUGCUGGUCUUCUAUGAGGAAAUGGGACACUGGAUACAGUAAGCUUCAUGGAUCUUUUGGUAGCUCACUGAUAUUCCCCUCCUCAAGCUUGACUGAGUAUAGUGACAAGCUUGAACGUGAG
rnacentral:lncRNA from 1 species